rnacentral:rRNA from 1 species
GGUCCCAAUGGUUAGGCUGUACGCCAAUUAAAGCGGUACGCGAGCUGGGUUCAGAACGUCCCGAGACAGUUCGCUCCCUAACUGUCGUGGGCGCAGGAAUUAUGAGAGUAGCUGUCCUUAGUACGAGAGGACCGGGAUGGACGUACCUCCGGUGCACCAGUUGUUCCGCCAGGAGCAUAGCUGGGUAGCUGUGUACGGAUGUGAGAAACGCUGAAGGCAUCUAAGCGUGAAACGCACCUCAAGAUGAGAUAUCCCAUAGCACAAGCUAGUAAGACCCCUUGCAGACUACAAGGUUGAUAGGUCACAGGUGGAAGCGCAGUAAUGCGUGCAGCUGAGUGAUACUAAUAGGUCGAGGGCUUGAACUA